AUUGAACGCUGGCGGCAGGCCUAACACAUGCAAGUCGAGCGGAUGAAGGGAGCUUGCUCCUGGAUUCAGCGGCGGACGGGUGAGUAAUGCCUAGGAAUCUGCCUGGUAGUGGGGGAUAACGUCCGGAAACGGGCGCUAAUACCGCAUACGUCCUGAGGGAGAAAGUGGGGGAUCUUCGGACCUCACGCUAUCAGAUGAGCCUAGGUCGGAUUAGCUAGUUGGUGGGGUAAAGGCCUACCAAGGCGACGAUCCGUAACUGGUCUGAGAGGAUGAUCAGUCACACUGGAACUGAGACACGGUCCAGACUCCUACGGGAGGCAGCAGUGGGGAAUAUUGGACAAUGGGCGAAAGCAUGAUCCAGCCAUGCCGCGUGUGUGAAGAAGGUCUUCGGAUUGUAAAGCACUUUAAGUUGGGAGGAAGGGCAGUAAGUUGAUACCUUGCUGUUUUGACGUUACCAACAGAAUAAGCACCGGCUAACUUCGUG
rnacentral:rRNA from 1 species